AAGUGGUAUCAAGAGCAGAGUUAAGUCUCUCUCCAACCUGCCAACUCCGGCAAGGUGGAACAAAUGAUGCGGUUGUUCAACAAUUAAAGGAGAUAAA
ncrna:unclassified sequences SAM-I/IV variant riboswitch